GGGGAAUAUUGCACAAUGGGGGAAACCCUGAUGCAGCGACGCCGCGUGAAGGAUGAAGUAUUUCGGUAUGUAAACUUCUAUCAGCAGGGAAGAAAAUGACGGUACCUGACUAAGAAGCCCCGGCUAACUACGUUCCAGCAGCCGCGGUAAUACGUAGGGGGCAAGCGUUAUCCGGAUUUACUGGGUGUAAAGGGAGCGUAGACGGUAUGGCAAGUCUGAUGUGAAAACCCGGGGCUCAACCCCGGGACUGCAUUGGAAACUGUCGGACUAGAGUGUCGGAGAGGCAAGUGGAAUUCCUAGUGUAGCGGUGAAAUGCGUAGAUAUUAGGAGGAACACCAGUGGCGAAGGCGGCUUGCUGGACGAUGACUGACGUUGAGGCUCGAAAGCGUGGGGAGCAAACAGG
rnacentral:rRNA from 1 species